rnacentral:ncRNA from 1 species
UACCUGGUUGAUUCUGCCAGUAGUCAUAUGCUUGUCUCAAAGAUUAAGCCAUGCAUGUCUAAGUAUAAGCAAUUUAUACCGUGAAACUGCGAAUGGCUCAUUAAAUCAGUUAUCGUUUAUUUGAUAGUACCUUACUACUUGGAUAACCGUGGUAAUUCUAGAGCUAAUACAUGC